AAAAGAAUAAGACAUUUAGAAUAAAUGGUGUUAUUAAAAUCAAUCAAAGAGAUAGAAAACAUAUUAUAUUAAAAAAUAAAAUAAAAAUAAGCCACGCGUAUUUUUCUUUUGUCCUGUUAGCCUCGUACAUAGAUCGAAAAGUAUUUUAUGAACAAAAAAGAUUAUUCUUUUCAGUGUAAAAACCUUUUUUGAUUUUCCUUAUUUGAGAUUAUGGUCCCACUGACAAACAGCUGUGUUUGUUUAACCAAAUGUAUUUAAAUUUUUAAAAGAGAAGGAUCGGUCAAAAUUGAGACAAGAAAACGUAAAAUUAGUGAAUCCGUCUCAGUGGAUAUCCCUGUACCAACGCAGCAAGAAAUUCGGUUUGCUAUUCUUUUUGGAUUUCGGUGUAAGCUCAAGCCUGUGGAAAUAUUUAGUGAGUGCCAAACAGCAUUUGGAGUGCAUGCGCCAUCCCUUGCGACUGUUUCAAAGUGGUUCCGGAGAUUUCACACAGGACGUUUUUCUGUGGAGGACGAAUAUCAAGAAGGCCGUGCAAAAUCUGCAACUGACGAUGUAAAUUUUGCGCUGUUGAAGUCUAAAAUUGACGAAGAUCCAAGAUUGAUCCAGGAAAUAAUUUCUGAAGAACUGGGCUUGAAUACCAUGGCUGUAUCACGAAUAUUACAAAAUUAUCUUGGAUACACGAAAAAAUCUGCACGAUGGCUCCCUAAAAUUUUAACUGAAGCUUGAACUAUAUUGAAAAAAUACAAAAAGAUGAUGAAUACAGAUUGAAAAUUAAAAAGAAAUUUUUUUCUACUCUA